AAGGAUCAUUAUUGAAAUAAACCUGAUAAGUUGUUGCUGGUUCUCUAGGGAGCAUGUGCACGCUUGUCAUCUUUGUAUCUUCACCUGUGCACCUUUUGUAGACUUGAAUAUCUCUCUGAAUGCUUAGCAGCAUUCAGGAUUUGAGGAAUGACUUUGUCUUUCCUUAUAUUUUCAGGUCUAUGUUUCUUCAUAUACUCUAAUGUAUGUUAAAGAAUGUAAUCAAUGGGCCCCUUUGGUGCCUAUAAAUUUAUACAACUUUCAGCAACGGAUCUCUUGGCUCUCGCAUCGAUGAAGAACGCAGCGAAAUGCGAUAAGUAAUGUGAAUUGCAGAAUUCAGUGAAUCAUCGAAUCUUUGAACGCAUCUUGCGCUCCUUGGUAUUCCGAGGAGCAUGCCUGUUUGAGUGUCAUUAAUAUAUCAACCUUUCUUGGUUGGAUGUGGGUUUGCUGGUCUCUUGAGGUCAGCUCCCCUUAAAUGCAUUAGCAGACAACAUAUAUUGCUAACUGUUCAUUGGUGUGAUAAUUAUCUACGCUAUUGAGCAUGAAGCAAGGUUCAGCUUCUAACAGUCCAUUUGACUUGGACAAAUUUAUCUUAUUAAUGUGGCCUCAAAUCAGGUAGGACUACCCGCUGAACUUAAGCAUAUCAAUAAGCGGAGGAAAAGAAACUAACAAGGAUUCCCCUAGUAACUGCGAGUGAAGCGGGAAAAGCUCAAAUUUAAAA
rnacentral:rRNA from 1 species